rnacentral:rRNA from 1 species
UACGAAGGUGCGCUCAGACCGGUCGGAAAUCGGUCGCAGAGUAUAAAGGCAAAAGCGCGCUUGACUGCGAGACAGACACGUCGAGCAGGUACGAAAGUAGGUCUUAGUGAUCCGGUGGUUCUGUAUGGAAGGGCCAUCGCUCAACGGAUAAAAGGUACUCCGGGGAUAACAGGCUGAUACCGCCCAAGAGUUCAUAUCGACGGCGGUGUUUGGCACCUCGAUGUCGGCUCAUCACAUCCUGGGGCUGAAGCCGGUYCCAAGGGUAUGGCUGUUCGCCAUUUAAAGUGGUACGCGAGCUGGGUUUAGAACGUCGUGAGACAGUUCGGUCCCUAUCUGCCGUGGACGUUUGAGAUUUGAGAGGGGCUGCUCCUAGUACGAGAGGACCGGAGUGGACGAACCUCUGGUGUUCCGGUUGUCACGCCAGUGGCAUUGCCGGGUAGCUAUGUUCGGAAAAGAUAACCGCUGAAAGCAUCUAAGCGGGAAACUUGCCUCAAGAUGAGAUCUCACUGGGAACUUGAUUCCCCUGAAGGGCCGUCGAAGACUACGACGUUGAUAGGCUGGGUGUGUAAGCGUUGUGAGGCGUUGAGCUAACCAGUACUAAUUGCCCGUGAGGCUUGACCAUAUAACACCCAAACA